GCAGCCGGCCAGCCCUCGACCACGGGAGCCGUCUAGCCUACGACCUCGGGGACCAGCCAGCUUGUGUCAUCUCAGGUGAGCAGUUGCUACGAUGGAGAGAGAUAUUCGACGUGAGGAGGAGAGGGAGCCAGUGGGAUGGAGAUGGAGAGACGUUGGGACGAGCGUGGCCUGCUGACAGAAAGAUCUGCGAAUCUACACUCUCACACAUGAAAUUAAAAAAAAAAAAUGUAUAUAUAUAUAUAUUAACUACAAUAUAUAUGUAACUAUAAAAAUUUUUAA